rnacentral:rRNA from 1 species
CUAAGAAUACUAAAUACAUUUUCCAUCAACCAGUAAGACAGUGGGGGAUAAGCUUCAUUGUCAAAAGGGAAACAGCCCAGACCACCAGCUAAGGCCCCAAAGUGGUUGCUAAGUGAUAAAGGAAGUGACAAUGCAAAGACAACCAGAAGGUUUGCUUAGAAGCAGCCAUCCUUGAAAGAGUGCGUAAUAGCUCACUGGUAGAGCAUUGUUGCGCCGAAAAUGAACGGGGCUAAGUAAUCCGCCGAAGCUGUGGUUGUGCAUUAUUAAAAUAAUGUACGAGGUAGAGGAGCGUUCCGUUUUAGGGUGAAGCUAAAACGUAAGUUUUAGUGGACAACGCGGAAGUGAGAAUGUCGGCUUGAGUAACGAAAACAUUGGUGAGAAUCCAAUGCCCCGAAAACCUAAGGGUUCCUCCACAAGGCUCGUCCAUGGGGGGUUAGUCAAGACCUAAGAUGAGGCCGAAAGGCGUAGUCGAUGGCAAACAGGUUAAUAUUCCUGUACUUGUUAGUAUUUGGUAAAGAAGGACGAAAAAGGCGGUAGUUGGCUAGAUAUCGGUAUUCUAGUAGAAAUGUCCAACUUGUUGAAAGGUUGAAAAAAAACUUCCUUGAGAGAAGGCAUGAUAUGACUUUUUAGUAAAUUUAUUUACUGAUUUGUUCAGCUUUAGUCAUAUUUCCAAGAAAAGCUCUUAUUACUAUACAAUGCUAAUAACUUGUACCCAAAACCGACACAGGUAGGUAGGUAGAGAAUACUAAGGGGCGCGAGAUAACUCUCUCUAA